GACGAACGCUGGCGGCGUGCCUAAUACAUGCAAGCUGAGCGCUGAAGGUUGGUACUUGUACCAACUGGAUGAGCAGCGAACGGGUGAGUAACGCGUGGGGAAUCUGCCUUUGAGCGGGGGACAACAUUUGGAAACGAAUGCUAAUACCGCAUAAAAACUUUAAACACAAGUUUUAAGUUUGAAAGAUGCAAUUGCAUCACUCAAAGAUGAUCCCGCGUUGUAUUAGCUAGUUGGUGAGGUAAAGGCUCACCAAGGCGAUGAUACAUAGCCGACCUGAGAGGGUGAUCGGCCACAUUGGGACUGAGACACGGCCCAAACUCCUACGGGAGGCAGCAGUAGGGAAUCUUCGGCAAUGGACGAAAGUCUGACCGAGCAACGCCGCGUGAGUGAAGAAGGUUUUCGGAUCGUAAAACUCUGUUGGUAGAGAAGAACGUUGGUGAGAGUGGAAAGCUCAUCAAGUGACGGUAACUACCCAGAAAGGGACGGCUAACUACGUG
rnacentral:rRNA from 1 species